rnacentral:rRNA from 1 species
AUAAAAAACCAAUGCCCUUCGGGGCUCCUUGGUGAUUCAUAAUAACUUCACGAAUCGCAUGGCCUUGCGCCGGCGAUGGUUCAUUCAAAUUUCUGCCCUAUCAACUUUCGAUGGUAGGAUAGUGGCCUACCAUGGUGGCAACGGGUAACGGGGAAUUAGGGUUCGAUUCCGGAGAGGGAGCCUGAGAAACGGCUACCACAUCCAAGGAAGGCAGCAGGCGCGCAAAUUACCCAAUCCCGAUACGGGGAGGUAGUGACAAUAAAUACUGAUACAGGGCUCUUUUGGGUCUUGUAAUUGGAAUGAGUACAAUCUAAAUCCCUUAACGAGGAACAAUUGGAGGGCAAGUCUGGUGCCAGCAGCCGCGGUAAUUCCAGCUCCAAUAGCGUAUAUUAAAGUUGUUGCAGUUAAAAAGCUCGUAGUUGAACCUUGGGCCUGGCUGGCCGGUCCGCCUCACCGCGAGUACUGGUCCGGCUGGGUCUUUCCUUCUGGGGAACCUCAUGGCCUUCACUGGCUGUGG